CUGGAAUGUGGAGGCUGUGGUUCCACUGGACUCAUGAGGAGACUGAGGCUCAGAGCGAUGAAAUGACCUACUCAAAGUUAAUGCACUUCAAUGAAGGCCCAAGUUGUUCUGAUCCCAAGGUCACUAUCCUUAAUCCCUCUCCCUAUGAGGUCUUCCCUAUCUUGAGCCUGGGGAUAGCUGUGCACGGGCAAGAGCAGAGCCUUCGGAGCCACACAGACCUGGCUUCAAAUUCCAGCCUCCCUGAUGACCCCUGAUGGCCUUGCAUGCUUGCCCUUGGGACUCAGACACCAUAUUGUGAGGAAGCCCAAGCUACAUGCAGAGGCCACUAUAGAUGUUCUGGCCAACAGCUCAAGCUUCAGCAGCUAGACAUAUGAAUAAAGGAACUCUUCAAAUGA